rnacentral:rRNA from 1 species
UGAGGAAUAUUGGUCAAUGGUCGAGAGACUGAACCAGCCAUGCCGCGUGCAGGAAGAAGGCCUUAUGGGUUGUAAACUGCUUUUGUACGGGAGAAAAAAGACAGUCGCGCAUUGUCAUUGAUAGUACCGUAAGAAUAAGGAUCGGCUAACUCCGUGCCAGCAGCCGCGGUAAUACGGAGGAUCCAAGCGUUAUCCGGAUUUAUUGGGUUUAAAGGGUGCGUAGGCGGAUUAUUAAGUCAGUGUUGAAAGGCUAAAGCUUAACUUUAGAAGUGGCAUUGAUACUGGUAGUCUUGAGUACAGAUGAAGUGGGCGGAAUGUGUCAUGUAGCGGUGAAAUGCAUAGAUAUGACACAGAACACCGAUUGCGAAGGCAGCUCACUAAGUUGUAACUGACGCUGAGG